AAUUAAUUAAAAGUUGAACAAACUUACUUAAUUUAAUUUCUAUUUUAAAAAGUUAAAUUAAUUCAACAUCGAGGUAAUAAUCUAAUUUUUUAAUUUAAUCUAUAAAAAUUAAUAAUC
rnacentral:rRNA from 1 species